rnacentral:misc_RNA from 1 species
GAUGAAGAACGCAGCGAAAUGCGAUAAGUAGUGUGAAUUGCAGAAUUCAGUGAAUCAUCGAAUCUUUGAACGCACAUUGCGCCCCUUGGUAUUCCAUGGGGCAUGCCUGUUCGAGCGUCAUUUGUACCUUCAAGCUCUGCUUGGUGUUGGGUGUUUGUCUCGCCUCUGCGCGCAGACUCGCCUCAAAACGAUUGGCAGCCGGCGUAUUGAUUUCGGAGCGCAGUACAUCUCGCGCUUUGACAACAAAACGACGACGUCCAAAAAGUACAUUUUUUACACUCUUGACCUCGGAUCAGGUAGGGAUACUCGCUGAACUUAAGCAUAUCAAUAAGCGGAGGA